rnacentral:rRNA from 1 species
UGGGGGAUAUUGCACAAUGGGCGAAAGCCUGAUGCAGCGACGCCGCGUGGGGGAUGAAGGCCUUCGGGUUGUAAACUUCUUUUGCUCUGAACAAGGCAUGCCUUUGGGGUGUGUUGAGUGUAGGGGUUGAUUAGCGCCGGCUAACUACGUGCCAGCAGCCGCGGUAAUACGUAGGGCGCGAGCGUUGUCCGGAAUUAUUGGGCGUAAAGGGCUUGUAGGUGGCUGGUUGCGUCUGUCGUGAAAGCUCAUGGCUUAACUGUGGGUUUGCGGUGAGUACGGGCGGGCUGUAGUGCAGUAGGGGAGGCUGGAAUUCCUGUUGUAGCGGUAAAAUGCGAAGAUAUCAGGAGGAAUACCGGUGGCGAAGGCGCGUCUCUGGGCUGUUACUGACGCUGGGGGGCGAAAGCGUGGGGAGCAAACAGG